GAUGAACGCUAGCGGGAGGCCUAACACAUGCAAGCCGAGCGGUAUUGUUUCUUCGGAAAUGAGAGAGCGGCGUACGGGUGCGGAACACGUGUGCAACCUGCCUUUAUCUGGGGGAUAGCCUUUCGAAAGGAAGAUUAAUACUCCAUAACAUAUUGAUUGGCAUCAAUUAAUAUUGAAAGCUCCGGCGGAUAGAGAUGGGCACGCGCAAGAUUAGCUAGUUGGUGAGGUAACGGCUCACCAAGGCGAUGAUCUUUAGGGGGCCUGAGAGGGUGAUCCCCCACACUGGUACUGAGACACGGACCAGACUCCUACGGGAGGCAGCAGUGAGGAAUAUUGGUCAAUGGGUGCAAGCCUGAACCAGCCAUCCCGCGUGAAGGACGACUGCCCUAUGGGUUGUAAACUUCUUUUGUAUAGGGAUAAACCUACCCUCGUGAGGGUAGCUGAAGGUACUAUACGAAUAAGCACCGGCUAACUCCGUGCCAGCAGCCGCGGUAAUACGGAGGGUGCAAGCGUUAUCCGGAUUUAUUGGGUUUAAAGGGUCCGUAGGCGGACUUAUAAGUCAGUGGUGAAAGCCUGUCGCUUAACGAUAGAACUGCCAUUGAUACUGUAAGUCUUGAGUAUAUUUGAGGUAGCUGGAAUAAGUAGUGUAGCGGUGAAAUGCAUAGAUAUUACUUAGAACACCAAUUGCGAAGGCAGGUUACCAAGAUAUAACUGACGCUGAGGGACGAAAGCGUGGGGAGCGAACAGGAUUAGGUACCCUGGUAGUCCACGCCGUAAACGAUGCUAACUCGUUUUUGGGCUUUAGGGUUCAGAGACCAAGCGAAAGUGAUAAGUUAGCCACCUGGGGAGUACGCUCGCAAGAGCGAAACUCAAAGGAAUUGACGGGGGCCCGCACAAGCGGUGGAUUAUGUGGUUUAAUUCGAUGAUACGCGAGGAACCUUACCAAGACUUAAAUGGGAAUUGACAGCUUUAGAAAUAGAGCUUUCUUCGGACAAUUUUCAAGGUGCUGCAUGGUUGUCGUCAGCUCGUGCCGUGAGGUGUUAGGUUAAGUCCUGCAACGAGCGCAACCCCUGUCACUAGUUGCCAUCAUUCAGUUGGGGACUCUAGUGAGACUGCCUACGCAAGUAGAGAGGAAGGUGGGGAUGACGUCAAAUCAUCACGGCCCUUACGUCUUGGGCCACACACGUAAUACAAUGGCCGGUACAGAGGGCAGCUACACAGCGAUGUGAUGCAAAUCUCGAAAGCCGGUCUCAGUUCGGAUUGGAGUCUGCAACUCGACUCUAUGAAGCUGGAAUCGCUAGUAAUCGCGCAUCAGCCAUGGCGCGGUGAAUACGUUCCCGGGCCU
rnacentral:rRNA from 1 species